GGUGCAUGGUUGUCGUCAGCUCGUGUCGUGAGAUGUUGGGUUAAGUCCCGCAACGAGCGCAACCCUUAUUGUUAGUUGCUACUAUUAAGUUAAGCACUCUAACGAGACUGCCGCGGUUAACGUGGAGGAAGGUGGGGAUGACGUCAAAUCAUCAUGCCCCUUAUGUCUAGGGCUACACACGUGCUACAAUGGCUGGUACAACGAGCAGCAAACCCGCGAGGGGGAGCAAAACUUGAAAGCCAGUCCCAGUUCGGAUUGUAGGCUGAAACUCGCCUACAUGAAGUUGGAGUUGCUAGUAAUCGCGAAUCAGCAUGUCGCGGUGAAUACGUUCCCGGGUCUUGUACACACCGCCCGUCACACCAUGAGAGCCGGUAACACCCGAAGCCCGUGAGGUAACCGUAAGGAGCCAGCGGUCGAAGGUGGGAUUGGUGAUUGGGGUGAAGUCGUAACAAGGUAGCCGUAGGAGAACCUGCGGCUGGAUCACCUCCUUUCUAGGGA
rnacentral:rRNA from 1 species